AUAAUCUUUCACAACCUUUCCAUAACAUCAAGAGAGAAUAUCAACAUCAAAAUCUCAAAGAAAAUUCAUGGGAGAUAAUUGUUCUUAUUUCUCUUCAAGGUGGUGGUGAACUUGAUCUUGGAAAGGGGUGAAUGAAGUGGAGUUCUUCCACUAUAAGAGUUGCAUGCUUGGAAGAAUAAACGUUGAACAACUAAGGCGACCGGAAGGUAGACAGGUAGAUGGAUCUGAUCCAUAGGAGCUUCAACAGCGGAAUCUCAGGAGCGCUCCACUUACUUCGGAGCUGCAGUCUAUUGAUAUCGGUCUUCAUGGUCACUUGUAAUCUAUGUAGAAGCUCGUAGGCAUAUGUGUAUAGUUAGACGUUUCAUAACCCUACCAGUUCAUAUUGUUGUAACAUUUUAGUAGCCUUGACGGCUAGUGAUGAUGGACACAAUUGUUGAAGAUUAUAUAGAGAUGUGCCGUUAUGUUGUGAUAUAUGUCCUUACCGAUUAUGACAGCCGUAAGCUAUCUUUAUGGUCUACCUAGAAAUG